UGAGAUUGGGGACCUAAAAUUCUUGUUAAUUUGUUUUGUAGGAACCUAUUAAGUCCAAGAAGUCGUUGUGGUAUCUUGACAGUGGUUGCUCAAGACACAUGACAGGUGACAAGAAAAGGUUCAUCUCUUUUGAGAAGAAAAAGCAAGGAUUUGUAACUUAUGGAGACAAUAACAAAGGUAGGAUCAUGGGUACCGGAGAUAUUGGAGGAGGAAACACUUUGACAAUAAGAGACGUCUUAUAUGUUGUAGGCCUCAAGCAUAACCUUCUAAGCAUAAGCCAAUUAUGCGACAAAGGUCUCAAGGUAACCUUUGAGAGUGAUAAAUGUACUGUUUACUUUAAAAAUUCUACUAAUAUUGCUUUGCAAGGUGUUAGGCACAACAACAUAUAUUUGAUUGAUAUUGAAAGUGCAUCUAGUCAUAGUAUAACAUGCUUAGUUGCUAAAGAAGAAAAUCCUUAGCUAUGGCAUAAAAGAGCUGCACAUAUUCACAUGCAACAUUUGAAUAAAUUAAUUUCUAAAGAUCUUGUGAUUGGUUUGCCUAAACUGAAAUUUGAGAAAGACAAAUUAUGCUUUGCAUGUCAAAAAGGUACACAAACAAAAUCUUCAUUUUCGUCUAAAAGCAUGAUUUCAACAUCAAAACCUUUAGAAUUUUUGCAUAUGGACUUGUUUGGUCCAUCUANAAUUAAAAGUUUUGGUGGAAAUUACUAUGCUCUUGUAAUUGUUGAUGAUUAUUCUAGAUUUACUUGGACUUUCUUUUUAACUUUGAAAAGUGAAGCAUUCAAAGCAUUUAGAACUUUUGCUAAACGUAUUCAAAAUGAGAAAGAUUUGAAAAUUAAAACUUUGAGGAGUGAUCAUGGUGGUGAAUUUGAAAAUGAAUCUUUUGAAAUUUUUUGUGAAGAAUAUGGCGUUGCACAUAACUUUUCUGCACCUAGAACCCCCCAACAAAAUGGUGUUGUUGAAAGGAAGAAUAGAUCAUUAGAAGAAUUAGCUAGAACACUUAUGAAUGAAUCUAGUGUACCAAAAUAUUUUUGGGCUGAAGCAGUUAGUACUGCUUGUUAUGUGUUGAAUAGGAUGCUUAUUAGGCCAAUUCUGAAAUUAACUCCUUAUGAACUAUUAAAUGGUAGAAAACCAAAUGUAUCUCAUUUAAAAAUAUUUGGAUGCAAAUGUUUUGUAUUAAAUAAUGGAAAAGAUAAUCUAGGAAAAUUUGAUGCAAAAUCUGAUGAAGCAAUUUUUCUACGAUACUCUUUGACUAGUAAAGCAUAUAGAGUGUUUAAUAGAAGAACUUUGAUAAUUGAAGAAUCAAUGCAUGUUGUCUUUGAUGAGAUUGUGAACCUUGAGGUAAACCCUCUUGAGUCAACUAAACCCAUUGCAGGUGAUGAGGACUAUUUGAGAGAAGCUCUUGAAGAGAUGUAUCUAAAUGAGAAUUAUCCUCCAGAAUUUCAAGAAAGACCUCAAGCUGUUGAUUCUAAAAGCUAUCAACAACCAAGAGGAUUAUCUUUGGACAACAUCAUUGGAGAUAUUUCAAAAGGGGUAACUACUAGACACAAUAUUGAUAAUUUUUGUCUAACUGUAGCUUUUGUGUCUCAGAUAGAACCCAAGAACAUAAAGGAAGCUCUUCAAGAUGAUAAGUGGUGCAUUGCUAUGCAAGAAGAGCUAAAUCAAUUUGAAAGGAAUGAAGUUUGGGAACUUAUUNNGNAACAAGAUAAUUAUCAAGUCAUAGGAACCAAAUGGGUAUUCAGGAACAAGCUUGAUGAAGAUGGGAAAAUCACAAAGAAUAAAGCAAGGCUAGUUGCUAAGGGCUACUGUCAAGAGGAAGGUAUAGAUUAUGAUGAAACGUAUGCACCGGUAGCCAGGUUAGAAGCAAUUAGAUUAUUACUUGCAUAUGCAUGUUUGAUGAAAUUUAAACUGUAUCAAAUGGAUGUGAAAAGUGCUUUCUUAAAUGGUUUUAUAAAAGAAGAAGUGUAUGUUAGUCAACCUCCU
rnacentral:lncRNA from 1 species